rnacentral:misc_RNA from 1 species
UGAGGAUGAUGGAAUUAUCAUCUGGGAUGUUACCAUAAAACAUUACAAAUUUCCGGAAAAGAUAUUUCAGCAAACCAGCUUAUAAGAAUUCAACACAUUUCUAUAAUUAAAUUAUCCAGAUUUUCAUAAACCAGAAAGAAACCAGCAAAUUAAGAAAGAACAAAUUCAAUUUUCAUGGCAUCUCAAGUGCUAAAACUAAAAGCCAAUGCCGCAAAGAUGUCAGCGCCAAUUUACUAUUUUCUUAGCUCCAAACUCCUGGUCAAUGUAUUUCUAAGUCCAACAGUAUAGUUGGCCUCAUGACACUCUGGUCUUUCGUCCCAUAGAAAAUAAACAAAAGAAAAAAAGCAAUAAACAAAAGUCCAGAACGAUAGAUAUUUUGUUCCAAGAGCAAACAGGAAUAUAGCAUCCAUGAUCAAAGCAACAAAUGGUAAUGCUGCAAUGAGAUUAUCAUUAUGUAAUAACAUUGAUGUAUGCUGAAGGCCCCAGGCAUCAAUAAAUUGGAGAUUUGAGUCACCAAAAGUUCAUCCAUGAAUAACGUAUUGGUCAUAUAAAAUCCAAAAGCUUCAUUCAAGGCUCUAGAAAAUGUUCUUUGUGAAAACUGCAAUGAAAUGACAACCCGAACUAAGACCUAAAGAGGGCAUAUUUGAAGCGAUAAAGUAAUCUCUUUUCAGAAAUUAUACAUUUCUAAGAAUGAUUUUGGGCUAUGAUAAAUCCAGAAACAGCAAUGAAACAAAAACAGUGCAAAAUUGAGGUAAUAUCCAAGUAAUAAACCACAGGAUUAUAGUAUCAUCACCCAUCAAACUGUACAAAGAACAUCAUAUUGCUACACUUAAAAGAUGAAAUAACCCACAUAAUAUCCAGUCAUGAGAACAUAUAAGCCCUAGAAAGGAACUAGCCAAUAAAGAAGAGUUUAAUCACAACUGGACUACUCAAAAAGGGGAAUACAACAAGCACUGAAUAAGUGUAAUAUUAUUAAGCACACAAAGAGAGUAUGGCAACAGAGGAAGAGAUUACCACAGAGAGGACAGCGAGAAAGAGGACAAAAACGGUGAGAAUGGGAGAGAAGUCGCCGUUGGGAGGCGGCGGACGAGCCUGUGGAGCUGCAGCUGCUGUAGCGUGUUGUUGAUCCAUGGAGGGUAAAAGUUCCUCUGUCAAAAUGGAGAUGGAGCACUAAUAGAGAAAUCGGAUGGAUUGAUACAACCCGUACUAUUGAAUCGUGACCGUUGGAUGGAGUGUAAAAUAGGCUCGGAAACACCCUAGUCGUUUCGUGGGGGUCUUCGUUGUAUGUAUCAUUAAUAUUCGCUGCUUCAACGAAGA